AGGUGCUGCACGGCUGUCGUCAGCUCGUGUCGUGAGAUGUUGGGUUAAGUCCCGCAACGAGCGCAACCCUCGUCACUAGUUACUAACGGUUCGGCCGAGGACUCUAGUGAGACUGCCUUCGUAAGGAGGAGGAAGGUGAGGACGACGUCAAGUCAUCAUGGCCCUUACGGCUAGGGCAACACACGUGCUACAAUGGUUGGGACAGUGAGACGCAAUACCGCGAGGUGGAGCAAAUCUAUAAACCCAAUCUCAGUUCGGAUUGUUCUCUGCAACUCGAGAACAUGAAGCUGGAAUCACUAGUAAUCGUAGAUCAGCUAUGCUACGGUGAAUACGUUCCCGGGUCUUGUACUCACCGCCCGUCACACCAUGGGAGUUGAUUACACCCGAAGCGGGGAAGCUAAAUUGGCUACCCUCCACGGUGGAAUUAGCGACUGGGGUGAAGUCGUAACAAGGUA
rnacentral:rRNA from 1 species